GGUCCUGUGGCCCAAUGGAUAAGGCGCCUGACUACGAAUCAGGAGAUUCCAGGUUCGAUUCCUGGCAGGAUCG
rfam:Ciona savignyi cont_33107, whole genome shotgun sequence.